GAACGGAAAGGCCCUGCUUGCAGGGUACUCGAGUGGCGAACGGGUGAGUAACACGUGGGUGAUCUGCCCUGCACUUCGGGAUAAGCCUGGGAAACUGGGUCUAAUACCGGAUAGGAGCCAUUUUUAGUGUGAUGGUUGGAAAGUUUUUUCGGUGUAGGAUGAGCUCGCGGCCUAUCAGCUUGUUGGUGGGGUAAUGGCCUACCAAGGCGGCGACGGGUAGCCGGCCUGAGAGGGUGGACGGCCACAUUGGGACUGAGAUACGGCCCAGACUCCUACGGGAGGCAGCAGUGGGGAAUAUUGCACAAUGGGCGCAAGCCUGAUGCAGCGACGCCGCGUGGGGGAUGACGGCCUUCGGGUUGUAAACUCCUUUCGCUAGGGACGAAGCUUUUUGUGACGGUACCUAGAUAAGAAGCACCGGCUAACUACGUGCCAGCAGCCGCGGUAAUACGUAGGGUGCGAGCGUUGUCCGGAAUUACUGGGCGUAAAGGGCUCGUAGGUGGUUUGUCGCGUCGUCUGUGAAAUUCCGGGGCUUAACUCCGGGCGUGCAGGCGAUACGGGCAUAACUUGAGUACUGUAGGGGUAACUGGAAUUCCUGGUGUAGCGGUGAAAUGCGCAGAUAUCAGGAGGAACACCGAUGGCGAAGGCAGGUUACUGGGCAGUUACUGACGCUGAGGAGCGAAAGCAUGGGUAGCGAACAGGAUUA
rnacentral:rRNA from 1 species